GAGAGAGAGAGAGAGAGAGAGAGAGAGAAUUUUUAAUAUUUAUUUUUCAGUUUUCGGCGGACACAACAUCUUUGUUUGUAUGUGGUGCUGAGGAUCGAACCCGGACCGCACGCAUGCCAGGCGAGCGCGCCACCGCUGGAGCCACAUCCCCAGCCCUAAAUGCCACCUUUAGAUUCGGUACUGACUUUAAGACCUGAUGAAAAAAUCAGACCUCUACCAACCCGGGAUGCUCAGAACGAGGCCCGAAGAAGCCGCGCUGGCGCAGUCACGCGCGUCAGCCUGCGCACAGCCCAGCGCCCUCCAGCACAGAACGUGGGCGCAAUACGGUUUGCACGGACGGACCCAUUCCCGAAAAGAUCCCUGGACGCCAAAGGCACGCGGGAAAGACCUGACUCCCCUGUCACCGGGCUCGAUGCAGACGGCGUCCCGCCGACCUAGCGGAGAGCCCCCAGCGCCGACCCCCGGACAAGCAGACGUUCUCGGGGGAGCGCCUCCCUCGGCCGCAGGCUCGCUCCCCAGCUGCACUCUGAUUGGAUCAACUCCGAUCAUUUGCCUAGCGCCGAACCAAUCACAGGUCAGGGGCCUGUGGGCUGUGAUAGGCCAGACCUGGGUCACAUGACCACCUGCGACCGGAAGUGCCUGAGGCCCCGGGAGUGAAAGUAGUGGCGGGGACCAGGUGGGUCCUACGUGGAAGAGCAGCUCCUUAACACGUGGUGGCGGCAGAAGUCACACCGUGCCACCUCCACCCCAUGGAAACCAGCUCUUUUGAACCCAGCUCAUCUCGUCAGCAUGGGUACCUGGCAAAACUGACAUCUUUUGUAAAAGGUCUUUGCAGGAGAUCAAGGCACCCAGCUUGUGGUAUUUUCUUACAGCAGCCCUAGGAAGCCAUGUCUACCCUGUCGUUACCUUAUAAAUAGAAUAGUAACGUUACAUUCAUUGGCUGUUGGCAAGUCUCAUAAGCGUUCAUUUGUUAAAAGCAAGCAUUUAAAAUGUACCUAAAGCCAGACACACUGGCACACGCCUGUAAUCCCAGCAUUUUGGGAGGCUGAGGUGGGAGGAUUGCAGAUUCAAGGUCAACCUGGGCAAUUUAAUAAAUUGACAGUGUCUCAAAAUCUUAAAAGGGCUGGUAUGUAGCUCAAUGGUAAAGCACCCCUGGGUUCAAUCCCCAAUACUAAAAAAUAAAAACUAAAUGUACCACAAGCCAGGCACUAUGGUGCAUAGCCUGUAAUCCAGUUGCUUGGGAGUCUGAGGCAGGAGGAUCAUACGUUUGAGGCCAGCCUGGGUAACUUAGCAAGACCCUAUCUCUAAAUUUAAAAUUAAAAGGGCUAGCAAUAUAGCUCAGUGGUAAAGCACCCUGCGCUCAGGUCCCAGUACCACUAGAUAGGUAGAGUUUUUUUGAAACUGAAAAAGUACAUAUACCUACUUUUUUUUUUUUUCAUUACUGGAAACUGAACCCAGGAGUGCUCUGCCACUAAGCUACAUCCCCAGCCCUUUUCAUUGUUUGAGACAGGUUGCUAAGGUGGACCUCAGACCGGCCAUCCUCCUGCCUCAGGCUCCUGAGUCCUUAGUGUUUUCUACUGCUUCCCUGGACCAGGUUCUCCUAAGGUGGCUUGGGACACAGAAUGAAGGUUUCUUUUGUAGAAACUGACUGUGCUGUAGUGGCCUGCCAAUGCCCCGUGGCUGAAGUUCCUCUUGCUAAACAGCAGUGGGCACUCCCAGUUUGGGAGAUUGUGGGUCUGUUCCGGCUGAGAUGGCCUUUACUGUAGACAGGGUGGUGUAUGGACAGCAGAGACAGCUCUCUCAGCUCUAGAAGCAGGGAGUCCAGGAGCAAGGUGCCCGGAUCUGGCGUCAGGGACAAGCUGCCACCUGGUUCACAGGCGGCGCUUCUCUGAGCCCUCACAUGGUGGAAGGGAGAGAACUCUCUGGGGACUCCUGAAGGACCUGGUCCCAGACAUGAGGCUCCACCCAUGACCUAGUGGCCUCUGGAAGCCAGCCUCCUGGUGCAUCACCUCGGGGUGAGACUUCAGGGUAGGACCUGGGACACCCACACAGACCACAGCAGGGGCUCACAGAAAGUGAGCAGCUCCUGACCUCUGAGCUCAGCCCUCCCAGCUGCUGGAUGUUCGCCAUCCCGGAUUAUCAGGAAAAAAGGAAAAUGGAAGCCAAGGCACAGGUGCAUUCCUGCACCCCAGCCGCUUCCUGGAGUCCUCCCCCUCCCCCUGGCUCCUUCCCUAGGGAGGGCCGCUGGUCACCCGACUCGCACACCACCUUCUUUCUCCGACACUCUGUGUCCCUUCCACUGCUGUUUCCUCCGUCUGAGCAGUCACCACUGGCUCUCCUGCAGUCGUCCCUCAGUGCCCAUGGGAUGGGCUCCAGGACCCCCACAGGCAGUGAAGCUGCAGGUGUGUGGCACUUCCCCAUCACUUGUAAUGCUUACACGAUGCACAUGCAAUGCAAGUAGUGUAUUGUUUGGAGAAGAAAGACAGAAAAAAGCUGAACAUGUUCAAUAAAGAUGCACUGUAUUUCCCUGAUA